rnacentral:lncRNA from 12 species
AUGACACAUUCGUGGAUGGUUCAUGCCCGCACUGUGUGUGUGACCAUGGCAACGCUGCGACCGUGUCUCUUCUUUCCUAAAGGGAAAGGAGCAGACCCCUCUGUCACUACCCGUCCCGGUCUCUCUGCCACGAGCAGAGCUAGUGCUCUGGGAGAUUUGAGGGUGACAGUGAGAGGUUCUCCGCCGGGCCACGCUUCACGGACCUCUCACCCCUUCCGCAGUGCUUGUCCUGUGCGGCUGCUGGGUGAUUCUGCUGGGCUAUCUUACGGCAGUCCCAGCAUGUCAUUCAGUUUGCCACCGGGGGAUCAGAUGUCAAUUGCAGCAUCGGGGGAUAGGCUGUUGACCUCUGUGGAUGAAGAUUCGGCGGGGCUGCCCCCCUCGGGUGUUGUCGCCACUGCCGAAUCGGACCCAGAGUUGACAGCCGUACGAUCACAGGGACCUGGUGCUUCGGCACCUCAGUCAGUUGGGGCUUCAGGUCAACCGAGAGAAGAGCAAGCUCUCCCCUGCGCAGAGAAUCUCUUAUCUCUGUAUGGAGUUAGACUCGGUGAGUAUGACGGCACGUCUCACCAGCCAGAGUGCCCAGUCAGUGCUGAACUGCCUGAGUUCCUUCAGAGGCAGGACUGUGGUACCACUGAAACACUUUCAGAGGCUCCUGGGGCAUAUGGCAUCCGCAGCUGCAGUCACGCUGCUCGGAUUGCUUCAUAUGAGGCCACUUCAGCACUGGUUGCACUCCCGAGUCCCGAGAUGGGCAUGGCGCCACGGUACAUAUCGUGUCACCAUCACACCGAUGUGUCGCCGCCUAUUCAGCCCCUGGUCGGACCUUGCCUUUCUACGUGCCGGCGUACCCUUAGAACAAGUGUCCCGGCAUGUUGUUGUCAUGACAGAUGCCUCCAACACGGGCUGGGACACGACGUGCAACAGGCAGGCAGCUUCAGGGUCCUGGACAGGACCUCGACAGCUUUGGCACAUCAACUGUCUGGAGUUGCUGGCAGUGCAUCUAGCUUUAUGGCGGUUUCGGCCGCUGUUGCUAGACAAGCAUUUGUUGGUCCGCACGGACAACACUGCGGCUGUUUUGUACAUCAACCGACAGGGCAGUCUAGGAUCACAUCGCAUGUCUCAACUCGCCCGCCAUCUCCUCCUCUGGAGUCAGACGCGGCUCAAGUCACUGCGUGCUGUCCACAUCCCUGGGGAGCUCAAUCGUGCAGCCGAUGCGCUCUCACAUAA